CUCCUACUCCCUCCGUCCGGAAAUACUUGUCAUCAAAAUGAAUAAAAGGAGAUGUAUCUAGACGUAUUUUAGUUCUAGAUACAUCCCUUUUUGUCCAUUUUGAUGACAAGUAUUUUCGGACGGAGGGAAUACCUG
rfam:Triticum aestivum genome assembly, contig: Triticum_aestivum_CS42_TGACv1_scaffold_031923_1BL